rnacentral:rRNA from 1 species
CCUACGGGAGGCAGCAGUGAGGAAUAUUGGUCAAUGGGCGCGAGCCUGAACCAGCCAAGUCGCGUGAGGGAGGACGGUCCUACGGAUUGUAAACCUCUUUUGCCGGGGAGCAACGGGGUCCUUGCGAGGGCCCGAUGAGAGUACCCGGAGAAAAAGCAUCGGCUAACUCCGUGCCAGCAGCCGCGGUAAUACGUAGGGUGCAAGCGUUAUCCGGAUUUAUUGGGUGUAACGGGGGCGCAGACGGGGAUGCAAGCCAGGAGUGAAAUCUCGGGGCCCAACCCCGGGACUGCGCUUGAAACUGCGGGGCGGGAGUGGGGGAGAGGCAGGCGGAAUUCCUGGUGUAGCGGUGAAAUGCGUAGAUAUCAGGAGGAACACCGGUGGCGAAGGCGGCCUGCUGGACUGCAACUGACGUUGAGGCCCGAAAGCGUGGGGAGCGAACAGGAUUAGAUACCCUGGUAGUC